AUGUACCACUCGUCCGCCACGGUUGUGAGCGCGCCGUCCGCACCCACCCGACGGCUGCUUGCUACGGUGUGUCAGCC
rnacentral:sRNA from 1 species